rnacentral:rRNA from 1 species
AAGAGACAGCAGCCGCCGCGGGAAUACGGAGGGUGCAAGCGUUAAUCGGAAUUACUGGGCGUAAAGCGCACGCAGGCGGUCUGACAAGUCAGAUGUGAAAUCCCCGGGCUUAACCUGGGAACUGCAUUUGAAACUGUCAGGCUGGAGUCUUGUAGAGGGGGGUGGAAUUCCAGGUGUAGCGGUGAAAUGCGUAGAGAUCUGGAGGAAUACCGGUGGCGAAGGCGGCCCCCUGGACAAAGACUGACGCUCAGGUGCGAAAGCGUGGGGAGCAAACAGGAUUAGAUACCCGCGUAGUCCCUGUCUCUUAUAC